AUACGUAGGUGGCGAGCGUUGUCCGGAAUUACUGGGCGUAAAGGGCGCGUAGGCGGUUGAUCAAGUCAGGUGUGAAACCCCAGGGCUUAACCCUGGGCUUGCACAUGAAACUGGUCAGCUCGAGUGUCGGAGAGGAAAGCGGAAUUCCUAGUGUAGCGGUGAAAUGCGUAGAUAUUAGGAGGAACACCAGUGGCGAAGGCGGCUUUCUGGACGAUAACUGACGCUGAGGCGCGAAAGCGUGGGGAGCAAACAGGAUUAGAUACCCUGGUAGUCCACGCUGUAAACGAUGGAUACUAGGUGUGGGAGGUAUCAACUCCUUCCGUGCCGGAGUAAACGCAUUAAGUAUCCCGCCUGGGGAGUACGGUCGCAAGGCUGAA
rnacentral:rRNA from 1 species